CUUCUAAGUUUCCCCAAUCUACUGCUACCUCCAUUAACAAGAAAUUAAAAUACUGAAAAUCAAGUGGUAAGAAUGUUAAAGAACAAAGAAAAAAGGGUUAGAGGUUAAAAUUGCGAACCAAAAAGAAAAUAUAUUGUUGCAAUUUGGGAGUAUAUAUUUAUAGGAUUUCAAUUUGAAUUGAAAUCAUGAGAUAUUUUGGAUCAGAAGCCACAAAUUUUGGGACUAAAUCAAAAGUCUAAUUUUUAGGACUAAAUCUUUUUCGGACUAAUAGAAGCAAAAUUCUAGGACUAAAUCUUUUUUAUACAAAAAUCAUGUUUAAAAUCUUUAUUCAUAAUAAAUCUGUUUUUCAACAAAAAUCUAAAAGAUAGCAUUAGGGAGGAAAAA
rnacentral:lncRNA from 1 species